GAGAAGUGACUCACCUGCCCACUUACCUCUACUCAGAUCUGAUCUCCAGAAGUUGUAGAAUUCUGAGAAGAUCACACGCAGUCAAUUUAAUUGCUUGGAAUAUGAUUUUUGCUCUUUGGCAUUGAUUACAUAGGAGUGAAAAGGCUCUCAGUGUCUGAGUUAAAUGAAAUCCUGGAAGAAAUCGAGACUGCCAUUAAGGAGUACUCUGAGGAGCUGGUGCAGCAGUUGGCUUUACGAGAUGAACUGGAGUUUGAAAAGGAAGUGAAAAACAGCUUUAUUUCUGUUCUUAUUGAAGUGCAAAACAAACAGAAAGAGCACAAAGAAACAGCAAAAAAGAAAAAGAAACUAAAAAAUGGCAGCUCUCAGAAUGGGAAGAAUGAGAGAAGUCAUAUGCCCGGCACAUAUUUGACUACAGUCAUUCCUUAUGAGAAAAAAAACGGACCACCGUCUGUUGAAGAUCUUCAAAUAUUAACAAAAAUUCUUCGUGCCAUGAAGGAGGACAGUGAAAAAGUUCCGAGCUUGUUAACUGAUUAUAUUCUGAAAGUUCUGUGUCCUACAUAGAGCAGCAACUUUAUCUGCGGUGGGCUCCAAGCUAGAUUUCCUACAGCAUUAUUCUGAGAGCUGGCUACCAUUACCCUUCUUGCUAUUGGAAACUCAGCACAUUUGAACUUGGGUUUGAUUCAGUACUAACAGAUCUUGACUACACUAAUUCUUUAUAUUAUAGAACCAACGGAAAUAUGGGCACUAUUUUGAAUUCUAGAGAUGGUUUUUGUUAAA
rnacentral:sRNA from 1 species